rnacentral:rRNA from 1 species
CUUAGUGGCGGACGGGUGAGUAACGCGUGGAUAACCUGCCUUAUACAGGGGGAUAACGGAGAGAAAUUUCCGCUAAGACCGCAUAAGACCACGGCACCGCAUGGUGCAGGGGUAAAAUAUUUAUAGGUAUAAGAUGGAUUCGCGUCCGAUUAGCUAGUUGGUGAGGUAGAGGCUCACCAAGGCGACGAUCGGUAGCCGGCCUGAGAGGGUGAACGGCCACAUUGGGACUGAGACACGGCCCAA